UAGAAGUCAGGUCGGAUUAAGCCAUAGUACGGAAAAAACUAUGCUACCUGUGAGCCCCGUCCAAGGACGUUAAAAGAAGUCAGGCCACCACACAUGCCAUAGCUUGAGUAAACUAUGCAGCCUGUAGCUCCACCUGAGAAGGUGUAAAAAAUCUGGGAGGCCACAAACCAUGGAAGCUGUACGCAUGGCGUAGUGGACUAGCGGUUAGAGGAGACCCCUCCCUUACAAAUCGCAGCAACAAUGGGGG
rnacentral:lncRNA from 1 species